AAGUCGUAACAAGGUUUCCGUAGGUGAACCUGCGGAAGGAUCAUUACAAAUCCGAAUAUCUACGAUUUGGAGAGAGAGAGAGAGGGAGGAUUUUCUUCUCUCUCAUUAUUCAAUCGAUCAUCUUACCUAUUGACCCUUGUACGUUAUGUAUGUUAUAUAAACAACAAAUGGAAUACCUAUUAACAAUGGAUCUCUUGGCUCUU
rnacentral:misc_RNA from 1 species